CUUUUUAUUUUUAUUUUUUAUUUUAGGUUUGGCAGCAUUAUGGACGAAUGGAUAUUCAUAUACCUGUCAUUAACAAAAGGCACAAAAUGCAAUUCCGGUGGGCUAUUACGUGUGUCGCCAUGCUUGAAAAUUUUUUGGAUCUUCUUUUUCAGUUGCAUUAAUGUGUUUGUUCCCUUUCUUACCAGUUUCUCCAUCUCAUGGUAUUUAGAAAAGAUACUUGUCAAAGAAAGCACCAAUUUUUAGUUUGUUAAUCG
rnacentral:misc_RNA from 1 species